AGUAAUGUCUGGGAAACUGCCUGAUGGAGGGGGAUAACUGCUGGAAACGGUAGCUAAUACCGCAUAACGUCGCAAAACCAAAGUGGGGGACCUUCGGGCCUCAUGCCAUCAGAUGUGCCCAGAUGGGAUUAGCUAGUAGGUGGGGUAACGGCUCACCUAGGCGACGAUCCCUAGCUGGUCUGAGAGGAUGACCAGCCACACUGGAACUGAGACACGGUCCAG
rnacentral:rRNA from 1 species